rnacentral:rRNA from 1 species
AUUGAACGCUGGCGGAAUGCUUUACACAUGCAAGUCGAGCGGCAGCGCGGGGGCAACCCUGGCGGCGAGCGGCGAACGGGUGAGUAAUACAUCGGAACGUGUCCUUAAGUGGGGGAUAGCUCGGCGAAAGCCGGAUUAAUACCGCAUAAGCUCUGAGGAGGAAAGCGGGGGCUCCGUAAGGACCUCGCGCUGUUGGAGCGGCCGAUGUCGGAUUAGCUAGUUGGUGGGGUAAAGGCCCACCAAGGCGACGAUCCGUAGCUGGUCUGAGAGGGUGAUCAGCCACACUGGAACUGAGACACGGUCCAGACUCCUACGGGAGGCAGCAGUGGGGAAUUUUGGACAAUGGGGGCAACCCUGAUCCAGCCAUUCCGCGUGAGUGAAGAAGGCCUGGUGUAA